rnacentral:rRNA from 14 species
GGCCAUCGCUCAACGGAUAAAAGGUACUCUGGGGAUAACAGGCUGAUACCGCCCAAGAGUUCAUAUCGACGGCGGUGUUUGGCACCUCGAUGUCGGCUCAUCACAUCCUGGGGCUGUAGUCGGUCCCAAGGGUAUGGCUGUUCGCCAUUUAAAGAGGUACGUGAGCUGGGUUUAAAACGUCGUGAGACAGUUUGGUCCCUAUCUGCCGUGGGCGUUGGAAAUUUGAAGGGGGCUGCUCCUAGUACGAGAGGACCGGAGUGGACGAACCUCUGGUGUUCCGGUUGUCACGCCAGUGGCAUUGCCGGGUAGCUAUGUUCGGAAGAGAUAACCGCUGAAAGCAUCUAAGCGGGAAACUUGCCUCAAGAUGAGAUCUCACUGGAACCUUGAGUUCCCUGAAGGGCCGUCGAAGACUACGACGUUGAUAGGUUGGAUGUG